rnacentral:rRNA from 1 species
AUUGAACGCUGGCGGCAGGCUUAACACAUGCAAGUCGAACGGUAGCAGGAGAAAGCUUGCUUUCUUGCUGACGAGUGGCGGACGGGUGAGUAAUACUUGGGAAUCUGGCUUAUGGAGGGGGAUAACUACGGGAAACUGUAGCUAAUACCGCGUAGUAUCGUAAGAUGAAAGUGCGGGACCGCAAGGCCGCAUGCCAUGGGAUGAGCCCAAGUGGGAUUAGGUAGUUGGUGGGGUAAAGGCCUACCAAGCCUGCGAUCUCUAGCUGGUCUGAGAGGAUGGUCAGCCACACUGGAACUGAGACACGGUCCAGACUCCUACGGGAGGCAGCAGUGGGGAAUAUUGCGCAAUGGGGGGAACCCUGACGCAGCCAUGCCGCGUGAAUGAAGAAGGCCUUCGGGUUGUAAAGUUCUUUCGGUAUUGAGGAAGGAGUGUAUGUUAAUAGCAUACAUUAUUGACGUUAAAUACAGAAGAAGCACCGGCUAACUCCGUGCCAGCAGCCGCGGUAAUACGGAGGGUGCGAGCGUUAAUCGGAAUAACUGGGCGUAAAGGGCACGCAGGCGGUUAUUUAAGUGAGGUGUGAAAGCCCCGGGCUUAACCUGGGAAUUGCAUUUCAGACUGGGUAACUAGAGUACUUUAGGGAGGGGUAGAAUUCCACGUGUAGCGGUGAAAUGCGUAGAGAUGUGGAGGAAUACCGAAGGCGAAGGCAGCCCCUUGGGAAUGUACUGACGCUCAUGUGCGAAAGCGUGGGGAGCAAACAGG